rnacentral:lncRNA from 1 species
CCGUAGUCCAUGCCAGCAGGGCUGUGAUCCCUGCAGCACAACUACAACCAGUUCCUUCCAGUGAAUGCUUUUUUCUCAUCGCUUCCCAUUGUGAUGAGGCCAAAGACAUCUUUUUCCCUGAUCUCAUUUGGUCUGCUCAGUAAAAAUCGCGUGAUGUGCUGGACCAAGAGAGUAAAUCCAGAAGGCAGCCUGGUUGUGCCACCUCGUGCUGCAAAUGGAGCAGGGAGAGGGGCCUGCUCCGGCUCCUCCUGCAGCCAAGUGCUGCUAACGAGGCACUGUGUGUGCCCCAAAGGAGGAAAGGACAGGCACCUGGGAGCCCCGUGCCCCUGCCAGCACCCAGGGUGUGUUCACACAGUGCAAGGGAAUCACGAGACCUGGCUCAUUUUGCAAGCUGAUUGCAUGAUCCACAGAUUUCUUUUUAUUUAAGAUGAAAAAUUAAUUGAACAACGAAUCUUCCUGCUUCUACAGUUGCUCUGCUCUUCAAGUCCCAUCCUUCCUUGUCACCGAAAAUAAGUUGAACCCAUGGCAACAAAAGAAGAAUGAGCUGCAGGUGAAAAUUAGGUUCUUUGUAUCACUUACCACAUUCACUGUUAAUAGAAAGGGCCUAUCUAUGUGUCUGUGUAUAAUAUACGCACUUAUAUAUUCCAGCAUACAUAUAAAUAUAAUAGAUUUUUCAUUACAUAGUUUUUUCCAUUCUAUUUUUCUUUUUUUUUUUCUUUUACCAUUUAGUUAGUUUUUUGUUGUUGUUGUUGUUGUUGUUUGUUUGUUUGUUUUUGUUUUCAUUUUUUUCCUGCUUAUGCAUACAGAAUCUAAUGUAACUCACUCUGGAUGCUGAACAGAAUGUCAGGAAAUUCUACUAGUAUAGGUAAGCAUCAUGCAGUAUAAAUACAGGUUGAACUGUGAUCAGACAGUUUGCUAAGAAGCUUUUUCUUGCUUUAAAAUGUCAGUGGACAAUGUGACAACAGUGUGACACAAGCAAACAUGAUCAGCAAUGCCAUCCAACCUAACCAGGCUUCAAAAACUUCAUUGCAUUGGAUAUGAUCUUUAACCUCUCCAGUGGUCAGCUCUUUCUUUGUUCUUUCCCUCUUGUCUUAUCUCCCCAUAGUGAUUUUGUACUCAUCGGCUGGUUUCAUUUAAAGUCAUUCAUCUUCUGGUGCCAGACAAUGAAUUGAUUAGAUUUUUAUUUUUUUCUGCCCAGUAUCCUUGUUGACCUAUAAGACCAAAUAUCUUAGUCUUUCAUCUUUUUUUUUUUUUUUUUUUUUUUUUUUUUUGUGUGUGUGUGUGUGGUACAACUUUAUUUUGCCUGUAUACUUUUAUUCCCAUGAGACGAACAGACACCACCUCCUGCUGUGUGGUCAUCAGCAUUGGCGGUAUGCUAUGUCACAGCUAUGACAGCUGUGAACCUGAUAAAAAAUAACUGCAUCAAAGGACGUGAAAUUAAAAGUUGAGGCCACAGCUCGUGUGCUGGUGUAUGUCUGGGCUCCUCUGGACAAGAAUGACAGGAAACUGGUGGAGCAAGUCAAGAAAAAGGCUGUGACAAUGAAGAAGGGACUGGAGCAUCUCUCCCAUGAGGAGAGGCCAAGAGAGCUGGGAUCAGCCUGGAGAAAAGGAGGCUCAGGAGGUUCUUAUCCUCUUAUCCAUGUGUAUAACUGCCUGAAGGGAGGGUGCAGAGACAGAGCCAGACAACAGGCACAGGCUGAACACUUAUGAAUAUUUCUGCUGUUGUUGAUGUUUUAACUGUGAGGACUUUUGAACACUGGCACAGGUUGCCCAGAGAGGUUGUGGCAUCUCCAUCAGAAGCCAUCUGGACAAGGACCCGGGUAACCUGCUCUGCACUGCACAAGGUGACCUCUAGAAGUGCCUUCCAGCCUCUGCCACGCUGUGGUUCUGUGAAACAGUUUAUGCCACAAAAACUGAUUGUCAGCAAUAUAUCUGGUACAGCCUAAACUAUUUUCUCAGCUGGAAAUUGUUCUCAAAGCAAUAGAAUUCGCUGUUGUUGUAGCUGAUGCAAACUAAGGAAACAAUUAAUUUAUUUUAAAUUUAGCUAAAAAAAAAAAAUCAUUUGCUUACCAAGGCUUAUCGAAUCAUUGGGAGUGUGAGCAGUGUUGCCAAAAAGAGCACUUAAUUUUCUGGCUUGGAGCAUUAUGGCACCAUGGGACGAGCUGCCCAGAGGUGCCUGUCAUUUCUGAUACCCCGAGAGAGCCUGGACAGAAGCACAGAGCUCUGAGGCAGCCUGAGCAUCAGCUGGACUGGUUCAAAGGGGAUGUCCCUGCACCCUGUGCUGUGCAGCAGCAAGCCCUGGAAAAGCUGAACCCUGCUAGACAAAUCUCACACAUUAGCUAUUGCUCAAUACAUGCAUUAAUUAAAGCGCCUUAACUCCUGAUUAAUAACGAUUUACUGGUGCAAGUACGUAAAUACUUUACUGAAUCCUAAUUGAGUUUGUAAUAGCUGCCAUGAAGCAUAAAAUAGACCUGUGCUGGGUACCCCAUGUGAAAAUGGGUCCACGUGGAUACCAGUCUGUGCUGGCAAGCCACGUCCUCCGUUCGUGCUGUAACACCAAGGAGUUGUUUAUCAGCACGCUUUGGGUUCCUGUGAUUUAUCAAGUUCAUUGUCGCUAAUGUUAAUGUGAUACUCUGGUGUUUGGGAUAAUUUCUCUAUCCAUUAUUGAAGUUCCUUAUACUCCUUUUUUCACUUUCUUUCAUCAUUUAUUUAAUGAAUUGGAAUAUUUAGAUCUUUUACACUGCAGUUAUGUCAGUGCAAGCUGACAUUGCUGCCGCUUUAGCAGAGCUGCUAACUGUUACUCACCAAAAUAACUAUGGAAAAAACAGACAUCCUUCUCUUUAAUCUCUGAAAAAAACUUGGUUUCCAAUCACACUGCUCUAUGAACUGUUUUCCUGACUACUAUUUGGUAUGGGUUGAAUCAGAAAGAUGGACAUGUAAUUUAUAAAUAACUACUUUAAACUGCUCUGUAUUAAAAUCUUGUCUUCACAGGCAGUCUCCCUGGCAAGCUGGAUUCAUGCACUAGAGCAUUUGUAUACUCUGAAUAUUUCCUAGAAAGAGCUUUCUAGAAAUUAGCAGCCCAGGUCCUGUCCUGGCUGGUGAAUUGCCUCCACCUUGUCAACUGACACACAUGCCUACUGGACCUAGAUGUAGUCCCUAUUUAUAGCUGUUGGACAUAGGUCAAAAUGCACCAAAUUUGCUCAUUAUUGUCUUAAUUUUCAAAGGGGAGUGCAUGGCUGCGCCUCUUGGGCUUGGGGGUUUGUGGAAGCGUGGUGAUCUUCUGUGUGGCAUGCAAAGAACCUACGAAGUGUUACAUCUACUCUGGAAGUCUUUCCCCCACACACAUUAUUUUUUAAAUACAGUGACUUUAUUAGAGUGAAAUAUGUGAAAUCAGUGUUAAAUUAAUGAGAAUUAAGUGAAAUCCCCCAGUGAUGUGCUUUGAGGUGGCUGUCUUCUUGAAUAUCCAUUCCUUGCUCAACAUGGAGCUUUCCCACACUGAAAGGACUGGCUCCCUGGGUUAUUUGCCACUUCUCUGGGACAGUAAAUUCUGUGCUCAGGCUGCCGGGAUGAUAGGUAGAACUUCAUUUAUGGAAAACCAAUUCACUCUGUCCAAGAACUGGGAUCACUAAGCUUGAAGGCCUGGUUUUAUACUGAAGCUUUAAGAUGCUGCUGUAUAAAAGCCUUCAGGCUUAGCUCUGCUCUACUAUUACUGCAGUAAAGUCACAUCAGUGACUGAAACUGUAUUUCCAUGCCAUUGCUUAGAGAGAGAGAGCAGUAUCAGACCUACAUCUCCUCUCCUGCUCGAUGUUGUUUUUCUUUUUAAAAACCAACUGGAGAGCUCAUAUAGUAGUAGGCAGGUAUAAAUUGCUUCCCCUGUAAUAUAUUUAAUAAUCUGAAGCUAAGGAGCAGUGUUAAAAAGGAGUGUGUCAAAAUAAUGGUAAAAAAAAAAAUAAAAAUACUCUGAAUCCUGUGGAAAUUAACUCA